rnacentral:lncRNA from 1 species
AACUAGUUACAUAAGCACGACGUUAUAAAUACUUAAUUAUUUAUAAAAAAAUAUAAAUAUUUUUUAUUAUAUAGGAAACUAUAUUUAUAUUAUUAUUGUUGGACAAUACUUAGUUAUAAAAUAUUUAUUUCAAGACUAAAUUUAGUAGAUAUAUGUUUUCAAGUUUUACUUUUUAUAAAACUAAUAUCCGGUAAUAGAAAGUAAAAUUAGUUAAGUUGAUUUUAAGUGAUUGGAUUUUAAUAGACUUGAUAAAAAAAAAAUCCAAUCAGUUCGAUUAAAAUCGAAUUAGUUCAUUAGUUCGAUGGUUGAGCUGCCGCUUCGAACUAUUCAAAAGGUGUUUUUAACAUAUCCGGUUCAAAUGAUUGAAUUAAACAGUUUUAUAGGUUGGGUCACGUUUAGACGGAUCGAAUUGACCGAUUCGCCUCGAUUUUUAAAUAAUUGUU